UACGUAGGGGGCAAGCGUUGUCCGGAAUCACUGGGCGUAAAGCGCACGUAGGCGGAUUGUUAAGUCAGGGGUGAAAUCCUGGAGCUCAACUCCAGAACUGCCUUUGAUACUGGCGAUCUUGAGUCCGGGAGAGGUGAGUGGAACUGCGAGUGUAGAGGUGAAAUUCGUAGAUAUUCGCAAGAACACCAGUGGCGAAGGCGGCUCACUGGCCCGGUACUGACGCUGAGGUGCGAAAGCGUGGGGAGCAAACAGGG
rnacentral:rRNA from 1 species